GGUACCGUGGCUCAACGGUUGAGCGUUUGCGGGCCACUCGGUGGGAGCAUUCUUAGCGAGGGCCAGUAGCAAGAGAUCGCCUGUUCGAAUCAGGCCGGUGUCG